rnacentral:rRNA from 1 species
UACGGAGGGUGCAAGCGUUAUCCGGAUUCACUGGGUUUAAAGGGUGCGUAGGUGGGCAGGUAAGUCAGUGGUGAAAUCUCCGGGCUUAACCCGGAAACUGCCGUUGAUACUAUUUGUCUUGAAUAUUGUGGAGGUAAGCGGAAUAUGUCAUGUAGCGGUGAAAUGCUUAGAUAUGACGUAGAACACCAAUGGCGAAGGCAGCUUACUACACAAUGAUUGACACUGAGGCACGAAAGCGUGGGGAUCAAACAGG